rnacentral:rRNA from 1 species
CACGGGGGGAGCAAGCGUUGUUCGGAAUCACUGGGCGUAAAGGGCGUGUAGGCGGUUCGGUAAGUGGAAUGUGAAAUCCCUCGGCUCACCCGAGGACCUGCAUCCCAAACUGCCGAGCUUGAGUAUGGGAGAGGAUGAGGGAAUUCCUGGUGUAGCGGUGAAAUGCGUAGAUAUCAGGAGGAACACCGGUGGCGAAGGCGCUCAUCGUCGGCCAACUACGUGACGUGAGGUGCGAAAAGCGUGGGGAGCAAACAGG